GCGUUCGCAGUCUAGCGGUUAGGGGUGCUGCCUCGUAAGCAGCGAGAUCGAGUUCAAUCCCCGGUGGAACCG